rnacentral:rRNA from 3 species
AAAGAAACCAACCGGGAUUGCCUCAGUAACGGCGAGUGAAGCGGCAAGAGCUCAAAUUUGAAAUCUGGCCCCUCCGGGGUCCGAGUUGUAAUUUGUAGAGGAUGCUUCGGGUGCGGCCCCCGUCUAAGUGCCCUGGAACGGGCCAUCGGAGAGGGUGAGAAUCCCGUCUGGGACGGGGUGUCCGCGUCCAUGUGAAGCUCCUUCGACGAGUCGAGUUGUUUGGGAAUGCAGCUCUAAAUGGGUGGUAAAUUUCAUCUAAAGCUAAAUACUGGCCGGAGACCGAUAGCGCACAAGUAGAGUGAUCGAAAGAUGAAAAGCACUUUGAAAAGAGAGUUAAACAGCACGUGAAAUUGUUGAAAGGGAAGCGCUUGCGACCAGACUCGCUUCCGGGGUUCAGCCGGCUUUCGGGCCGGUGUACUUCCCCGGGGGCGGGCCAGCGUCGGUUUGGGCGGCCGGUCAAAGGCCCCUGGAAUGUAACGCCUCUCGGGGCGCCUUAUAGCCAGGGGUGUCAUGCGGCCAGCCUGGACCGAGGAACGCGCUUCGGCACGGACGCUGGCAUAAUGGUCGUAAACGAC